rnacentral:tRNA from 1 species
GUUUAUAUAGCUUAUAAAAUAGGAGCACGUCAGUGAAGAUGAUGGGGAAACUUUAAUGUUUAUAGAUA